GUCCAGUUGUGAUCAGUUCUUUCUUCUAGGGCUUAGUGCCUUUUGGGGUCCUACACUAACCCCUCAUUAACCUAAAUGCAGUCCCCUUCCGAGCCUGGGAUACCUGCUCUGUGUGGAAUGCCUCAGGGAGAGUGAAUGUUAGGCAGAAACAACGAGGAGAGAUGUCCGUGGUCAACUGGAGGUGACAGCACUGUAAGUGUGAAUCCACUGCAAGCAGCUCAGAGUGGGAGCUGCAGAGAAGCCAUUGCAGGAGCAAAGUGGAAGAGUGGGUCGUCUCGAAUGACGAUUCAGUCAUUGAUACUAGGGCACAGGCUAUCUUCCUUUUCUCACGUUCUGUUCACCCUAAACCACCUUCUAAAGCCCUUCGUUUCUGAAUAUCUUGAGGUAAGGGGAAUCUACUCUGUUCUGGGUAACAAAAGGAGAAGAAUUUGGAGGUUCUGAGUUUAUUUUGGAGGGAGGAGCUGAAAGGCAAAGAAAGGAAACAGAAUUUUGCAGGUGGGAGGUUAAGCAAGGUGAGGGCAUGGAGAGGGGCAGGAAGAAGCGCCGGAAGGUGUUGAGACAAUGUUGAAUAUGAGAUUUCUAGUUAAUGGCUCUGUGAUGCCAAAGUCUCCAGCAAAAUCCACUGUACUACACAUGUGCUUUUUUAAUUUGAUCUUAUUUGGAGAAGAAAAGAAAAUUACAGACAAAGGGUAUGUCCCACCUGCAGGUGAAUGCUGGGGAGGAAGGUGCAUCAAAGAAUACUGCAAAAUUCCAGGGACUCAGAGAGCCUUGGGAGAUGCAGGAAAAGGUGCCUCAUCUCUUUCCCCCCAGGCCUGCUCCAUUUCCCUGAAUAUGAGGCAUGAGCAGCCUAGGCUGAAUAUUGGAAAGUUUCAGCAGAAUUGAUGGUGUCUUGGUGGAGCAUAAUCAAGAUUAUUGGAGCAGGACAGGAGGUACUAUGAAGAGAAGAGAAAGCUUUGAGCUGUAAUGGAAUGAGAUUUGUUUUUUGAGGUUUGUUUGUUUUUU
rnacentral:lncRNA from 12 species